rnacentral:rRNA from 1 species
ACUCCUACGGGAGGCAGCAGUGGGGAAUAUUGGGCAAUGGGCGCAAGCCUGACCCAGCCAUGCCGCGUGAGUGAUGAAGGCCUUCGGGUCGUAAAGCUCUGUGGGGAGGGAAGAAACCGCUUGUGGAUAACACCCACGAGUCUUGACGGUACCUCCUUAGCAAGCACCGGCUAACUCCGUGCCAGCAGCCGCGGUAAU